rnacentral:lncRNA from 1 species
AUAUAGGUAACAUUCAUUUUGGAGUAGCACUCACUGAAGCCACCGUUGAAAGUUCAAAGAAUGAAGUCAGUGUAACUUAUCGAAUUUGUUUUUCUCAAUCGACCACUGAGUAAUAAAUUUGAAUUUGUCAAUACUAUAUGCUGAUUUAUCAGAGAAGGUUCAUCUGGGAUACAACAAUAACAAUAUAUUAUAAAAUUUCAAUAUAUAUAAAUAUAUAUUAAGAUGAUUUAUUUUAUUGUUGUGACUAAUAAAUAUCAAGUAAGGUUUAUCCAAAGUUUUUGUGGUUUAUAAGAGACCACAAAACAACAACAAAAAAUCAUUAUCAAAACUUUGAGGUCUCUAUGCCUUUAUCAUCAAGA